AUUUAAGUAGUUUAAGUUAAGAAUUUUGAUUUGUGGGAUCAGGGGUAUAUUGAUAUCUUAAAUA
rnacentral:tRNA from 1 species